GACGAACGCUGGCGGCGUGCUUAACACAUGCAAGUCGAACGGAAAGGCCCUGCUUUUGUGGGGUGCUCGAGUGGCGAACGGGUGAGUAACCCGUGAGUAACCUGCCCUUGACUUUGGGAUAACUUCAGGAAACUGGGGCUAAUACCGGAUAGGAGCUCCUGCUGCAUGGUGGGGGUUGGAAAGUUUCGGCGGUUGGGGAUGGACUCGCGGCUUAUCAGCUUGUUGGUGGGGUAGUGGCUUACCAAGGCUUUGCCGGGUAGCCGGCCUGGGAGGGUGACCGGCCAAAAUGGGACGGGAAUGAGGCCCGGACUACAACGGGAGGGGGCAGUGGGGAAUAGUGUACUAGGGGCGGAAGCCUGAUGCAGCAAAGCCGCGUGCGGGAUGACGGCCUGCGGGUUGUAAACCGCUUUCGCCUGUGACGAAGCGUGAGUGACGGUAAUGGGUAAAGAAGCACCGGCUAACUACGUG
rnacentral:rRNA from 1 species